rnacentral:misc_RNA from 1 species
GAUAAAGAACGCAGCGAAAUGCGAUAAGUAAUGUGAAUUGCAGAAUUCAGUGAAUCAUCGAAUCUUUGAACGCACAUUGCGCCCCUUGGUAUUCCGAGGGGCAUGCCUGUUCGAGCGUCAUUAUAACCCCUCAAGCUCAGCUUGGUGUUGGGGCCUGCUGCACUGGCAGCCCUUAAAAUCAGUGGCGGCGCCAUCUGGCUCUAAGCGUAGUAAUUCUUCUCGCUAUGGAGUCCUGGUGGAUGCUUGCCAUCAACCCCCAAUUUUUCUAUGGUUGACCUCGGAUCAGGUAGGGAUACCCGCUGAACUUAAGCAUAUCAAUAAGCGGAGGA